UACGUAGGGUGCAAGCGUUAUUCGGAAUUACUGGGCGUAAAGCGUGCGCAGGCGGUGAUGUAAGACAGGUGUGAAAUCCCCGGGCUUAACCUGGGAACUGCAUUUGUGACUGCAUCGCUGGAGUACGGCAGAGGGGGAUGGAAUUCCGCGUGUAGCAGUGAAAUGCGUAGAUAUGCGGAGGAACACCGAUGGCGAAGGCAAUCCCCUGGGCCUGUACUGACGCUCAUGCACGAAAGCGUGGGGAGCAAACAGG
rnacentral:rRNA from 1 species